CGGUUAAGUUAGAAAGGGCGCACGGUGGAUGCCUUGGCACUAGGAGCCGAUGAAGGACGGGACGAACACC
rnacentral:rRNA from 1 species